GUGCCUACGGGAGGCAGCAGUGGGGAAUAUUGGACAAUGGGGGGAACCCUGAUCCAGCGACGCCGCGUGAGUGAAGAAGUAUUUCGGUAUGUAAAGCUCUAUCAGCAGGGAAGAAAGAAAUGGCGGUACCUGACUAAGAAGCCCCGGCUAACUACGUGCCAGCAGCCGCGGUAAUACGUAGGGGGCAAGCGUUAUCCGGAUUUACUGGGUGUAAAGGGAGCGCAGGGGGCCCGGCAAGCCUGAUGUGAAAUACCGGGGCCCAACCCCGGGGCUGCAUUGGGAACGGCCAGGCUGGAGUGCCGGAG
rnacentral:rRNA from 1 species